rnacentral:lncRNA from 1 species
CUCCCUCCCCACGGCCUCAAGUCUCGCCAGUGAUGGAGAGAGCGUCACCGUCUCCUAGCAACGCUCCUAGCAACGCUCCUAGCAACCGGGCAACAUCUGCUCCCGCUGGACCAAUCCGCGCCGGGAACAUCUGGGCACCCACCUCCGCGGGCUGCGGCCGGGAGGUGAUGCGCUCCUCAGUGGCUGCAGGGACCCGCAGGAGCUGCCACCGCCGCCGCCACCUCCAUCGCCACCUCCACCGCCACCACCGCCUCCAGGAGCAGCGGGCGGCUCCGGGCAGCGAGGGAAGGACGGGGAGCAGCCCUCCCUCCGGAGCCGGGGCUCGCUGGAGCUGAUCUGAUCGGGGCCUACCAAAGACAUUAACGACGUCGAAAGUAGCCUACUUUAAGAGAAAAUAUGCAGAAGAAGAACAUUUACAUCAAGAUUACCAUGAGUAUUGUCCAAAAGUGAGUAGCUCUCUCAUUCCAGACCCUGUCCUCCCCCGGUUUCAUUCCUCGAUGCUAAAGACCCAUUUUCUUGCUCUUUACUCCCCAGCACCUGAUACUACCCGAGGACCGGACUUGUAUUCUAAAACUUUCUCUCCAGAAACUCCGAUUCCUGGAUGACCCCGAAGCUUAUCUCCGUAGGUCUGUAUUAAUUAACAAUCUGUUGAGGAAGAUUCACUUAGAGACAGAGAGGGAGAGCUAUGAAUACUUUAAGGAGGCUCCGUGUUAUAGGACUGCUUACUCUGAUGCACGAAAACGGCUGAAGUUUAUGGUACAGGAGUGCUGUUCCCAGUCGCUCUAUUAUGAAGAGCUGCAUUCGUAUCGCAUCGUGCCUUACUCUGCAGAGAACGCCGUUUACGGAAUGGGCUACACGAGCAGCCACUUGGAGCAAAAUUCUCAAUUGCUUAUUUAUAAAAUGAAUUAAAGUAGCUGUUAGACCCACUGAUGUUUGUUUCUGAAUGCUUGAACUGCUUAUUGAGAUGUUAAGAUGAGGCACUAAUUGCAGAUAUACUUGUGAUCAAAGGCGGAUGAGUUCAGAGCUGAGUGGAAGGUACUUUGGAUAAUGCUCUGCAGUCCCCGCUGUUAACCCCCUGGUUACGAAGUACCUUGACAUACACACAGAGCUGGUGCAAUACAGAGGUCCUUAUCCGCAGAGACUGCGGGCAAUGUGUUUUGUAGAAACAAAGCUGCAUUUAAGUUAUCUGUGUGUAGAUCCAGACGUUCAAAAUCACUUUGCAGUUAAAUUAUGCCAUCCCUGUUGGAAGGGGAGCCCCCAAAGCAGUGGAUUAGUCUAACAGUGAGGAGUAAAAUGCAAGUUAUUUACUGUAAAGGUAUAGAUAGAAAGUUU